UACGAAGGGUGCAAGCGUUACUCGGAAUUACUGGGCGUAAAGCGUGCGUAGGUGGUUUUUUAAGUCCGUUGUGAAAGCCCUGGGCUCAACCUGGGAACGGCAGUGGAUACUGGAAAGCUAGAGUGCGGUAGAGGGUAGUGGAAUUCCCGGUGUAGCAGUGAAAUGCGUAGAGAUCGGGAGGAACACCAGUGGCGAAGGCGGCUACCUGGACCAGCACUGACACUGAGGCACGAAAGCGUGGGGAGCAAACAGG
rnacentral:rRNA from 1 species